GGAGAGAUGACCGAGCUGGCUGAAGGUGGUGGUCUCGAAAACCAUUGUGCAAGAAAUUGCACCGGGGGUUCGAAUCCCCCUCUCUCCGCCA
rnacentral:tRNA from 1 species